CGGACCGGCGCACGGGUGAGUAACGCGUAUGCGACCUGCCCGUUGCAGGGGGGAUAAUCGGGAGAAAUCCCGUCUAAUACCGCGUAACGCCGCGGGGCUGCAUGGCCCUGCGGCCAAAGGGAGCGAUUCCGGCAACGGAUGGGCAUGCGUGACAUUAGCUAGUUGGCGGGGCAACGGCCCACCAAGGCGACGAUGUCUAGGGGUUCUGAGAGGAAGGUCCCCCACACCGGUACUGAGACACGGACCAGACUCCUACGGAAGGCAGCAG
rnacentral:rRNA from 1 species